rnacentral:tRNA from 1 species
AGCAGGACUUGAACCUGCGACCAUUAGGUUAAAAGCCCAAUGCUCUACCAACUGAGCUAUACACCCCAAAAAA